GCUUAAGAGAGCUUCAUGAUUAUGAAUAUAAUAUAUCCUUAAACCAUCAUGAAGCUGUGGAAGACACCACAGUAGUACAUAACUCCCUGAGAAACAGAAGUGGUUUAGCCUUUCAGCUGAUGAUGAUGAAGUGGAUGUUGUUCUCAUUAUUCCUGCCUCAGGAUGUGGUGGACCACCAUCUGCAGAUGCCGUCAGGUUUAUCAAUCACAAAGAGGGAAACAGGCAUCUGAAAGUGGCUGGCAAUCAAGAAUACUACAGGAAGCUUGCUUUUGGAAGGACAUAUAUUCUUACCUGGUUCCUAUUUCCUUAUGAAUUUUCUUGGCUUAAUGCAUUUAGUUUUAUAAUUUGUGUUCUGCUCCCACCACUAAUUUAU